AACGAACGCUGGCGGCACGUUUUAAGCAUGCAAGUCGAAUGGCAGCAGGGGCAACUCUGUGAGAAUGGCGAACGGGUGAGUAACACGUAGGUGAUCUGCCUUGAGGAUGGGGAUAGCCUGUGGAAACACAGGGUAAUACCGAAUGAGCUGACGAGACUUUGGUUUUGUUAGUAAAGGUGCUACGGCACCGCCUUGAGAGGAGCCUGCGGCUGAUUAGCUAGUUGGUGGGGUAAGAGCUUACCAAGGCGACGAUCAGUAGCCGGCCUGAGAGGGUGUACGGCCACACUGGAACUGAGACACGGUCCAGACUCCUACGGGGGGCAGCAGCUAAGAAUCUUCCGCAAUGGGCGAAAGCCUGACGGAGCGAUGCCGCGUGAUCGAUGAAAGUCGAGAGAUUGUAAAGAUCUUUUCUACAUGAGGAAUAAGUCUGGGAGGGAAUGCCCGGAUGAUGACGUUAGUGUAGGAAUAAGCCCCGGCUAAUUACGUGCCAGCAGCCGCGGUAA
rnacentral:rRNA from 1 species